rnacentral:tRNA from 1 species
GGGCCCUUAGCUUAGUCUGGUUAAAAGCACCCGGCUCAUACUCCCGUCGCUGUUCGGCUACGGGAUGGGACACCGGGCGAGCGCUGGUUCAAAUCCGGCAGGGCCCA